AGGCGAGGGAAGCUAGCGGCUGGCGAACCGAAGAGAGGCUGGGUGCUUGGGCAAGUGAGGAACCUUGAUCCUUGCGGGCCACCAUCCCGGAAGUGGAAAUUAGAGGAAGAAAAUACUGGGUUUGCUGGGGAUAAGUUUCUCAAGAUUCUAGGUGCGGAUUUUUAGAACUUUUUGUGGUAUGUUUUGACCAGGAUAGAAUCAGAGGUUUUUUUCGCCUCCCUUGAAAGAGCCAGCAUCUCUAGUGAGUUCGUGUGUGGCGCAGCGCGAAUCUCGGGACUUCAGUUAAGAAUCCCGCGGAGAAAGCCGGUCUGCGCUGUUACUUGGUGGUGACUUUGGUAAGGAGCUGAGCUUAUGCUUUAGUGGCUUACUAUGGCCCAGCGAGCAGUGUGGCUUAUACGCCACGAACCAGGAACUCCACUUCGUGGCACCGUGAGAUUCUCCAGACGUUAUCCAACCGUUGAAAAGAGAGCCAAAGUAUUCAAUGGAGCAAGUUAUGUGCCUAUUCCUGAAGAUGGUCCCUUUCUUAAAGCACUCCUUUUUGAACUUAGAUUAUUGGAUGAUGAUAAGGACUUCGUAGAGCGUCGUGAUAGCUGUACACACAUCAAUAAAACAACCAUAUAUAGACUUUCAGUAGGAGGUGAAGAACUCUGGCCAGUGGUUGCUUUUCUGAAGAAUGGCAUGAUAUAUGCUAGUGUUCCACUUGUUGAACAAACUCUCUCCCCUCGUCCACCAUUAAUUAGCAUCAGUGGAAUUUCACAAGGCUUGGAACUUCUUUUUGGUAUACAGGAUUUUCUUUAUUCUAGUCAAAAAAAUGAUACUGAACUAAAUACAAAAUUGAGCCAGUUGCCUAAUUUGCUUCUUCAGGCUUGUCCAUUUGGUACUUUAUUAGAUGCCAACUUACAGAAUUCGUUGGAUAAUAUUAAUUUUGCUUCUGUGUCUCAGCCACAGAAACAGCCAGCUUGGAAAGCUGGAACAUACAAAGGAAAACCACAGGUUUCUGUUUCUAUUACUGAAAAGGUAAAAUCCAUGCAAUAUGAUAAACAGGAUAUAGCAGAUACAUGGCAAGUUGUUGGAGCAGUCAUUUGCAAGUGUGAUUUAGAAGGAAUCAUGCCAAAUGUCACCAUCAGCUUGAACCUCCCCACCAAUGGAUCUCCACUUCAAGAUAUUCUAGUUCAUCCUUGUGUGACUUCUCUUGAUUCUGCCAUUCUGACCUCUAGCAGCAUUGAUGCAGUGGAUGAUUCUGCAUUUAGUGGGCCUUAUAAAUUUCCAUUCACUCCACCUUUAGAGUCAUUCAAUUUAUGCUACUAUACUUCCCAGGUUCCUGUACCACCAAUUUUGGGUUUCUAUCAAAUGAAAGAAGAAGAAAUACAACUAAAAAUAAAAGUUAAUUUAAAACUUCAUGAAAGUGUGAAAAAUAAUUUUGAAUUCUGUGAAGCUCAUAUACCUUUUUACAAUAGAGGUCCAAUUACACAAUUAGAAUACAAAGUUAGUUUUGGCCAGCUUGAAGUAUUUCGAGAGAAAAGCUUACUGAUCUGGAUUAUUGGCCAGAAGUUCCCCAAAUCAAUGGAAAUUAGUCUUUCUGGGACUAUAACCUUUGGAGCCAAGAGCCAUGACAAACAACCAUUUGACCAGAUUUGUAUUGGAGAUACAGCAUAUGUAAAGCUUCAUUUUAGCAUCUUAGAUUACACACUUACCGGAUGUUAUGCGGAUCAACAUUCAGUUCAAGUUUUUGCAUCAGGAAAACCAAAAAUAAGUUCAUGGUCUCACUAAGUUGUCCAGGCUGCGCUCAAGCUUGGAAUCCUCCUUGCCUCAACCUCUCAAGUAGCUGGGAUUACAGAUGUGCACCACCAUGCCCAGACAUGAGGUCUGUGCUUCAUGAACCUUUUGGGAAAGUUCUCAAAGACUACCACACAUCUUCUUCAAAGCAAUGGAGCAUCCUAUUUAGCCACUGAAGUUGUUGGAGUGCAAUAGGGCAGGAGAAAAACAUUAAAAGCCAGCCUUCAUCUACUGGUUUAGAGCCACUGGACUGUGCUGAAUGUGGUUUGGACCAGCAAGAUCCUCCCCUCAAAAAAGACCCUGAGAUGCCCUUGGGAACUGUUAACCCAAACACAGGAUCUCACUAAGUUGUCCAGGCUGGCCAUAAAUCUGCUUCAACCCCUAGGCUGCUGGGAUCACAGAUGUGGCCCACUGUAUCCAGCAAUCCACUCUUAAUUAUUACAAACCAGAGUACCUGAGGAGAAGCAAGUGAAGCAGGAGGCAUCCUCUGAAGGUCCCACAGACUGCAUCUACCAAAGAGGAACAUAGUUUCUUCCAGUUGUCUUACUGAAAUGUCAUUGUCCAAGGAAGAUGAAACUUACAUCACAGAGGAAGAGACUAAAAAUCAAACACCACAUCUAGAGCCCAAAGGAAUUUUGCCCCAGGCCAGUAUCUGUUUGGGGGGUGCACUUAUUGCCUACUAAAAUUCAUUUAUUCCCCUGCCCAAACUGUCUUCAUCCCCCAUUUUCCUCUGCCCCAAGAAGAUGGUGGUUAAGCCUUAAUCUUCUGGCCCUUCUCUGAAUUUCAUAUUUGUGUGGCUCCCAUGCACUUAGGCAUUGUUAUGGUUUACACAUGAGGUGUCCCCCCAAAAAACUCAUGUGUAAAACAUUGCAAGAAAGUUGACAGGUGAAAUGAUUGGGUUACGAGAGCCUUAACCCAAUCAGUACAACCCUGAUAGGGACCACUUGGGUGGUAACAGCAGGUAGGAUGGAUGUGGCUGGAGGAGGUGGGUCAUUGAGGAUGUGCCAUUGGGGUUGAUAUUUUGUGAGUGUUGAGGGGAGUUCUCUGUCUGCUUCCUUGUUGUCAUGUCCUGAGCUGCUUUCCUCUGUCAUGCCCUUCUACCUUAGUGUUCUGCCUUGCCCAGGGCCCAGAGCAAUGAAGUCAGUUAUCUAUUAACUGAGACCUCCAAAGCUGUGAGCUUCAAAUGAACUUUUCCUCCUCUAAAGUUGUUCUUGUCUGGUCUUUUGGUGAUUGCAGUAUAAAAGGUAACUAAGGUAUGUUAAUAAAUGUGUAUACCUUUUCUGUUAGUCUGCCUACUGUCUGUCAGUUUGAGCUGGCAGACUCAAUCACUGAGCCUUUAGAAGGAAAGCUUGCCCUCAAGAGAGUCAGAUUCUCACACUUCAGUCCUCAGUGAGGCUAUCCUUCUUUUCUCUACCACCUGUUUCCCCAAGUAUUGAAAAAUCCUGUGGAGGAAUUCUGAUUGGCUUGGAUGAUACAUCAACUCCUGUGGCCAAGAGGAUAUAUAGACUCUUCUAGAACCAUUUACUUUGAAGGAUUAUUUCCCAAAAGUUAAAAGACUGCUUAUGAAUAAGAACUCAUACACAUGACCACAUCCUAAAAAUUUCUAACGCUAGAACUCCUUUACCGUUCUUAAAAAAAUUUAGCUCUCUAGUCAUGGCCAUCUCUCCUCUUACAACCGACUCUACCACUCCCACUCUCAUACUUACACUUAACCUAAUCUUUUGCUUCACCCAGGACUCCAGUCUACAAUCUACCCAUUGUUUCAGUAUACCAGCCUCCUCCCAGCUUUGCUUUCUUCUCUGUCCAAUCUGGACCAAAUAAGUAACAUUACCUGGUCUAGUUUUGGGACCACCUAGGAUCACAAGAAAUUCACAGAAGGAACUGACCAGCCUGAGGGUGGGGCCAUGACCAUCCUGACUGGUCUUAGACUCAGACUCAAACAUUCACGUGAUACCUGACUUAUCUUCCCAGGAGACCCUUGAUCAUAUGAUUCUCAGCUGACUUCCACAUAAUUACUUCCGCAUAGUCCCACACCAAAUGUGUUUUAAAGUGGCUCCAAGUUGAGUUUCUGAGCCAAGUCCUCUCCCCUUAGGAAAUCCAGAAGAUGCGAGUGAAGCUCACUAUAGCUUUAAAAUUGCAGUUCUAAUGGUUUAGAGAAAUCUCAGUCCUGGGGCUUGAUGAGUUACUCCAUUUAUUUUUUCAGUAAGUACUUGAGAAAUAUUUGUUAAGCAAAUGAUAUUUUCAAGUUAUGCCUGAAAUCUUUAACAUUUUAUUCUAUAAACUUUUAACAAAACAGACUGAAACCUUUUAAAGCUAUCUGUGGAAAUGUUCAAUCCAACAGAGACCAUUGAAGUACUACAUAGUGUUAAAGAAAAACAAGCUGGCCUCGUUACCCCAAGAGUUAAAGUAGUGACAUCAACAAAUGAUGAACCACAACAGACAUCUGAGGAAAUAAGUCAAGAAUUUGCCUAUACAUAUGUGACUUAAACCUCUACAAUCAGGACCUCCCACAAUUGUGUUUAGAAAGGGAAAACAUAUGUAGUUAAUUAUAUGGUACCAAGACUAGAUAGACUAUAUGAACUGUCUAGGAAAGACAGCAGCCUAUCUGGUUGACAUAUACAUUUAAAUCCUGAUUCUGUUUGUUGAUAACCUGAUUUUCUUUUUGGUAGUUGUUGUUGAACAACAAAAAGAAGAUAUAUUUGUAUAAUAGAUAGAAAUGCACCAUCUUCCUGGCAGUUAAAUUUCUUAAUGCCACAAUUAAUAAAUUUGUAUAAAUUCAGCCAUCUCUGUGGGGUUUAGUUAUAUGAGUUGACAUUUCUAAAUCUUGACUAAGUAGUUAGAUGUAUGUUCCUUAUACUCUAAUAUUUUUCCUAUGAAAGUCACAGAAAAGUAAGUGCCUCCUUCUGAACCCCUUUGGCAGGCUUGCCAUCCCUUUCAGUGAUCUACCUCAAUGUGACCCCUGCUGGGUAACUUCUGUAAUAUUUGAACAGCUACCCCAAUGGAUAAGUGAGCAAAUAAUUAUCGACAAUGCCACACUUAUGUGUGGUUGUUAAUGAUCAAGAUAAUUCCUAUGUAUUGGGUAACUACAAUAUAUCAGGGAUAGCUAGGUAUUUUAAGAGGUGCAACACAAAGUAUGUUUACAGGAUCAUGAAUCUUUUUUUAGCAUCUGCUUUGUUCUUUUAUACAUUUAAAUUUUUUUCUACAGUGAACAUGUGCUUUGUAAUUGUAAAGUUUUUAUUCAUUUUUUAAAUGCACAAAAACAAGCUCAAAAUUUAUUACUAAAUCUUUGGAAUUUUCUUUAAGAUUUUAUUUCAAUAAAAUGUGGGAAUUUUUAUGGAGAUGAUACAGAAUUUAGAUGAAGUACAAUUAGACUGUUCUUUUGAUUUACCAAAGACUUAAUUUGCCAUUCUAUGUGCACAUAUUUGGUCCUUCAUUCAAAACAGACUCAUAAAGCACUAUCAGCCCAAUUUUGCUUCAUUACCAUAGCAACAUAAUAGUGACAAAGGCACACAGCUCCUUCCCUCCUUCUCCCACACAUGCCUGCUACCGUUUUACUUGUCAUUCAUCGCCAUCUUCCUGCAUCCAUUUUUUUUCAUCCUUUAGAAAGGAUGUUUUCCUCUUCUCCCGAAAACUGCUUUCCUCUUCCCCAAAAAAUUUCAUAUGUAGCAAAACAAAGCUACAUAUGUGAAUAACCAAAACACCCUAAAUUCUAUAUAUCAAUUUAUUUUUUUUCUGUUUUAUACUCUUUAGGAUUCUUCCUAGUUGAUCAUAGGUAAGGAACAGUUAUAGUUUUCCUGGUAAACUCAUCAAUUCAACACUUUUGACUCCGAAAAAUUUCAAUGUUCCAGAUUUAAUUAAUUUCAUUAAUCCAAAUGAGGUAGGAGAGAAUUCAUCCUAGGGGAGCCACUAGCAGUUACUGGGUUUUUGAGAGAGGAGGAGGCUUUGUCUCACUCCCCUUUCCUCAUCUUCUCAAUGUGUACAGAAUAUGUCCAUUAUUGAUUUCAGCAGUUGUGGAGAUGUGGGAUUAUAAUAAGAGCAGCACAGAUCAACAUUUCAAAUUCACUUGAUGAAAUCAAGGAACUGGACACUGCUAUACUCCAUUCAAAGGAGUACAGGUGAGCUUUCUCAACAAAUCUGCUCUGGAACCCUCCUUUUGCUAUACCCUUUCUUUCUUCCUAAGAAUUCUGAUUUCACUUAGGCAUCUGCCUUACUGGGAAGCCAAGACUUUCAGGAGAAGAUAGUCCAACUCCAGAAGGUGAGUUGGAUGGAAGUUACUAUGGCAACACCCUUUAUUUACUAGGGUUGGUCUGGGCAUGGCUGGUAAUACUCUUCUGGCCAAUAAGAAAUAAGAAGAAGUCUGCUGUUGGCUUCGGGGAAAGGUUGUUGAAGAGUACAAGAAUGGGGCCCCCCAACUAGGCAUGCUCCACUUACUUAUUAUACCGCAGUAUAAAGUUUAGCCAGGCACAUAGAAUCCAGAAUAAAUAACACAUUUCUCAGCAUCCUUUGUAGCCCAUUGUUCUGGCCAAUGGAAUAAAAGCAAACACAGAGAGUGGCAUCUCCUGGGAAUGUUCCUCUGUGUAUGUUCUGUCAAGGGCUCUUUGUCUACUCCUUUCUUUAUUCUGCCUUGUGGCAUAUGGGUAUGAUAGCUGGAGGUAGAACAAACAACUCUUUGGACCACAGAUAACCUCAGGAAUGGAGACCAUGCAUGGCAGAACAGAAAAGAAGCCACACUUAAGUCACUACUAUUUUAGGUUUUCUGUCAUUUAUAAUUAAACCUAAUACUAAGUAAUACAAAGAGAAAGAGGACAUAUUUUCAGUCUCUAGAUGUUGCUGCAUCAAGGAGUCAGUCUAGAACUACUGCAGCCUUUGUGCAACCCUGAGGACCAAGGCCAAGCCUAAGGAUGGCAGGUGAGGGUGUGAAGUCAACCAACUGCAACGGUUUUUCUGUGUAUUUUUUAUUAUGUGAUAAAAUAUACUAUGUUAUUGCUAAAGCCACUGAAUUGGUGAUUUCUGUAUCUUGUAGCUGAAAGUAGCUCUUACAGGAUUUAAUGGUUUCUAAACGUUGUAAAAACUCAUGCACCUUCAAAAGAGAUGGAGCUAAUCAAAGAUUUAGAAGAUGCAGCAUUAAACAUGAAGGGUGUGUUACAAACCAUUUAGAAAUUAGAAGACAAAGGGGAAAAACAUAAACCCACAAGUCCACAAUAGCCAUGAUGAUCACUUUGGCCUUAUGGUAUUUUUUUAAAUAUCAUACAUAACUACAUAUAUUUUUCCAUAUACAUAAUCAAUCACACUGUGAGUUUGACUUUUUCUGUCCCACUGAAUAUAAAUAAAAAUGCUGUAAAAAAAAAAAAAAAGAAAGAACUACCUGGUAAUUUAAGAAAAUAAAUUUAAAAA